rfam:Gossypium raimondii chromosome 10, whole genome shotgun sequence.
AACCCAUGAUGAGGGCACCUUCUCAAUAGAUACUUAAAUCUCUCACAAGCAUCAUAUAAUGCUUCAAAUCAAUUUGGGUAAAAGAAGAGAUGUUGUUCCCUAACUU